GAGUUUGAUCAUGGCUCAGAUUGAACGCUGGCGGCAUGCCUUACACACGCAAGUCGAACGGCAGCACGGGAGCUUGCUCCUGGUGGCGAGUGGCGAACGGGUGAGUAAUGCAUCGGAACGUAUCCUGGAGUGGGGGAUAACGUAGCGAAAGUUACGCUAAUACCGCAUAUUCUGUGAGCAGGAAAGCGGGGGACCUUCGGGCCUCGCGCUCUUGGAGCGGCCGAUGUCGGAUUAGCUAGUUGGUGAGGUAAAGGCUCACCAAGGCGACGAUCCGUAGCAGGUCUGAGAGGAUGAUCUGCCACACUGGAACUGAGACACGGUCCAGACUCCUACGGGAGGCAGCAGUGGGGAAUUUUGGACAAUGGGGGCAACCCUGAUCCAGCCAUGCCGCGUGAGUGAAGAAGGCCU
rnacentral:rRNA from 1 species